CUACGGGUGGCUGCAGUGGGGAAUAUUGGACAAUGGGGGAAACCCUGAUCCAGCAAUGCCGCGUGUGUGAAGAAGGCCUUAGGGUUGUAAAGCACUUUCAGUAGUGAGGAAAAGUUUAAGGCUAAUACCCUUGAACCCUGACGUUAACUACAGAAGAAGCACCGGCUAACUUCGUGCCAGCAGCCGCGGUAAUACGAAGGGUGCAAGCGUUAAUCGGAUUUACUGGGCGUAAAGCGCGCGUAGGCGGUUUGAUAAGUCGGAUGUGAAAGCCCCGGGCUCAACCUGGGAAUUGCAUUCGAUACUGUCAGGCUAGAGUAUGGUAGAGGGAAGUGGAAUUCCACAUGUAGCGGUGAAAUGCGUAGAUAUGUGGAGGAACACCAGUGGCGAAGGCGACUUCCUGGCCCAAUACUGACGCUGAGGUGCGAAAGCGUGGGGAGCAAACAGGAUUAGAUACCCUCGUAGUC
rnacentral:rRNA from 1 species